rnacentral:rRNA from 1 species
UCGGGAAUUUUGGGCAAUGGGCGAAAGCCUGACCCAGCAACGCCGCGUGAAGGAUGAAGUAUUUCGGUAUGUAAACUUCGAAAGAAUGGGAAGAAUAAAUGACGGUACCAUUUAUAAGGUCCGGCUAACUACGUGCCAGCAGCCGCGGUAAUACGUAGGGACCAAGCGUUGUUCGGAUUUACUGGGCGUAAAGGGCGCGUAGGCGGCGUGUUAAGUCAGCUGUGAAAUCUCCGAGCUUAACUCGGAACGGUCAGCUGAUACUGAUGUGCUAGAGUGCAGAAGGGGCAAUCGGAAUUCUUGGUGUAGCGGUGAAAUGCGUAGAUAUCAAGAGGAACACCUGAGGUGAAGACGGGUUGCUGGGCUGACACUGACGCUGAGGCGCGAA